GGGUGCACUUAGAGUUUUGAUCUCUGUUGAAUAGGUUCGAGUCCUAUUUUUUUAGGAG
rnacentral:tRNA from 1 species